rnacentral:rRNA from 1 species
UGGGGAAUUUUGGACAAUGGGCGAAAGCCUGAUCCAGCAAUGCCGCGUGUGUGAAGAAGGCCCUUCGGGUUGUAAAGCACUUUUGUCCGGAAAGAAAUCCUUGGCUCUAAUACAGUCGGGGGAUGACGGUACCGGAAGAAUAAGCACCGGCUAACUACGUGCCAGCAGCCGCGGUAAUACGUAGGGUGCAAGCGUUAAUCGGAAUUACUGGGCGUAAAGCGUGCGCAGGCGGUUUGCUAAGACCGAUGUGAAAUCCCCGGGCUCAACCUGGGAACUGCAUUGGUGACUGGCAGGCUAGAGUAUGGCAGAGGGGGGUAGAAUUCCACGUGUAGCAGUGAAAUGCGUAGAGAUGUGGAGGAAUACCGAUGGCGAAGGCAGCCCCCUGGGCCAAUACUGACGCUCAUGCACGAAAGCGUGGGGAGCAAAACAGGAUUAGAUACCCUGGUAGUCCACGCCCUAAACGAUGUCAACUAGUUGUUGGGGAUUCAUUUCCUUAGUAACGUAGCUAACGCGUGAAGUUGACCGCCUGGGGAGUACGGUCGCAAGAUUAAAACUCAAAGGAAUUGACGGGGUCAUAGCUGUUUCCU